UACGGAGGGUGCAAGCGUUAAUCGGAAUUACUGGGCGUAAAGCGUGCGCAGGCGGUUUGUUAAGUCUGCUGUGAAAUCCCCGGGCUUAACCUGGGAACUGCAUUUGUGACUGCAAGGCUGGAGUGCGGCAGAGGGGGAUGGAAUUCCGCGUGUAGCAGUGAAAUGCGUAGAUAUGCGGAGGAACACCGAUGGCGAAGGCAAUCCCCUGGGCCUGCACUGACGCUCAUGCACGAAAGCGUGGGGAGCAAACAGG
rnacentral:rRNA from 1 species